GAUGAACGCUGGCGGCGUGCCUAAUACAUGCAAGUCGAGCGAACGGACGAGAAGCUUGCUUUUCUGAUGUUAGCGGCGGACGGGUGAGUAACACGUGGAUAACCUACCUAUAAGACUGGGAUAACUUCGGGAAACCGGAGCUAAUACCUGAUAAUAUUUUGAACCGCAUGGUUCAAAAGUGAAAGACGGUCUUGCUGUCACUUAUAGAUGGAUCCGCGCUGCAUUAGCUAGUUGGUAAGGUAACGGCUUACCAAGGCAACGAUGCAUAGCCGACCUGAGAGGGUGAUCGGCCACACUGGAACUGAGACACGGUCCAGACUCCUACGGGAGGCAGCAGUAGGGAAUCUUCCGCAAUGGGCGAAAGCCUGACGGAGCAACGCCGCGUGAGUGAUGAAGGUCUUCGGAUCGUAAAACUCUGUUAUUAGGGAAGAACAUAUGUGUAAGUAACUGUGCACAUCUUGACGGUACCUAAUGAGAAAGCCACGGCUAACUACGUG
rnacentral:rRNA from 1 species